rnacentral:ncRNA from 1 species
CCUUUGGGGCGAGGUGCAAUUCCUCAACCGGCGGUAAAGUCCGCGAGCCGAAAGGCAUGAUACGGUGUAAUUCCGUAACCGACAGUAUAGUCUGGAUGAGAAAAGGUG